UACGUAGGGGGCCUAGCGUUGUCCGGAAUUAUUGGGCGUAAAGGAGCUUGAGUAGGCGGUCUGUCGCGUCUGCUGUGAAAAAUCCGGGGCUCAACCCCGGACUUGCAGUGGGUACGGGCUAGAACUAGAGUGUGGUAGGGGAGACUGGAAUUCCUGGUGUAAGCGGUGAAAUGCGCAGAUAUCAGGAGGAACACCGAUGGCGAAGGCAGGUCUCUGGGCCACUUACUGACGCUGAGAAGCGAAAGCAUGGGGAGCGAACAGG
rnacentral:rRNA from 1 species